GUUAGGGUUAGGGUUUAGGGUUAGGGAUAUGUUGGAUUAUGGUUAGGUUAGGUUAGGUUAGGGUUAGGUUAGGUUAGGGUUAAGGUCUCUCAAUUGUGAGAAAGAAUGUUCUGUAUAUUCUGUGGCCAAAAAAAUUCAAUUGAAUCACAAGAUUAUAAAUUGUAAUCACAGGACAAAAAAAUUCUGAGUUAUGAAAAUAAGCAUCCAAAUCGUGAAGUAAAACCUGCAGUUACCUUUUUAUUCCGUGGUGAAACAAGCUUCCGUGUAAAAGCCAUUAAAUAGUCACCAUACAUUCAAAAAUCAGUAAAAUGGAGGAUGCUACCGGGGCAUGUUGUCACAGAAUCGGUUCUUUAAACAGGCUUGAUUUCUCCUCUCUUCUAUGUGAGCUGGACGAUCCUCGAGGUCUUCCAGGCGUUUGCACAGCCUGAGCGAGGUCCUUCAGUGACCGAUCAGCAGCUACGAGCUGAAAUACACCUCGAGAGUGUUUGUUUUUUAGCUCCGGGUCCUUCCUUAUUAAUAUAUUAAGAGCUACAAAAGAGGUUGGACUCGGUGUGUGCGGGAGAAACCCAUCUCGUGCUCGGCACACAACUCAUUCAUUUGUUUGUUCGAGAUGUUUCGAAGGUGACUUCAAGCAACGUUUCCACACAUCGGUGUAAAUACCAUGAAGAUGUAAUCAGCACAACCACAAAUAUGAUCUUUGUACAGAUGAGAGAAUCUGUUGGCAGGUUAUUAUUAUUAUUAUUGUUAUUGUUAUUAUUAUUAUUAUUGUGAAAGCUCUGAUCAUUGUUGAUAUGAUGUGUAAUAAUCACCAUGAAUGUAAAGGCCUUUCCUCUCUUUUCACCUUAUGACCUUAUUUUAUAUGCAAAACCAUUUUGUUCCUGUUUUUAGAUCUGAUGUUUCAUAUGAAUUAUGCUCUUUCGUACUACCCUCUUUUUUUAAAACGGGAAGAUAUUUGACCUUUUUUUAUCCUUUAAUUUUGUUGUCUUUUUUUAACACGUGAACUAAAGAACACCAGCUUUAGGAUACAAAUAAUAUUCGAUUUGUAUACACUGUUCAGCAGUUUUUAUGAUUUAGACUCUUUUAUUUUAUUUUUUACAUUGAAUUGAUCAAAUAAAGUUUCGGCUGAAUUGUA